CACGUAGUUAGCCGGUGCUUAUUCAUAAGUUACCGUCAUAUUCUUCACUUAUAAAAGCAGUUUACAACCCGAAGGCCUUCAUCCUGCACGCGGCGUUGCUCCAUCAGGCUUUCGCCCAUUGUGGAAGAUUCCUCACUGCUGCCUCCCGUAGGAGUCUGGACCGUGUCUCAGUUCCAGUCUGGCUGGUCAUCCUCUCAGACCAGCUAACGAUCGUCGACUUGGUGAGCCUUUACCUCACCAACUAUCUAAUCGUACGCAGGCUGCUCCCAAAGCGGAUAAAUCCUUUAAUCCGAAGAUCAUAUGCGGCAUUAGACACCGUUUCCGAUGCUUAUUCCUCACUUUGGGGCACAUUCCUACGCGUUACUCAGCCGUUCGCCGCUCGUCAGCAUCUAGUAAACUAGACCUGUUACCGCUCGACUUGCAUGUGUUAGGCACGCCGCCAGCAUUCAUCCUGAGCCAGGAUCAAACUCU
rnacentral:rRNA from 1 species